UAGAGUUUGAUCCUGGCUCAGGAUUAACGCUGGCGGCAUGCCUAAUGCAUGCAAGUAGAACGGGCUCCGCAAGGAGCAAGUUGCGAACGGCUGAGUAAUGGAUAGGAAUCUCCCAAAUGGUGUGGAAUACCUCAUCGAAAGAUGAGCUAAUACCGCAUGACCCCGCAAGGGAAAAGCGCUUAACUGCGCGCCGAUUGAUGAGCCUAUCUCCCAUCAGGCAGAUGGCGAGGGUAAUAGCCCACCAUACCUAUGACGGGUACCCGCCCUGAGAGGGGAAACGGGCAGAAUGGGACUGAGACACGGCCCAUACACCUACGGGUGGCAGCAACAGGGAAUCGUGCGCAAUGGACGAAAGUCUGACGCCGCAAUGCCGCGUGGAGGAUGAAGGCCCUAGGGUCGUAAACUCCUUUUGCCAUAGAGGAGAUGCUAUGGAGAAUAAGUAACUGCUAACUCUGUGCCAGCAGCCGCGGUAAUACAGAGGUUACAAGCGUUAUCCGGAUUUAUUGGGCGUAAAGCGUUUCGUAGGUGAUUCGUUAAGUUGCUCUUCAAAGACCACGGCUCAACCGGGGGAAGGGGAGUAAGACUGACGGAAUUGAAUAGUGGUGGGGCUUCUGGAACUGGUGGUGUAGUAGUGAAAUACGUUGAUAUCAUCAGGAACUCCAAGGGCGAAGGCAGGAAGCUAACCAUUUAUUGACACUGAGGAACGACAGCUAGGGGAGCGAAAGGGAUUAGAGACCCCUGUAGUCCUAGCCGUAAACUAUGCUCGCUAGGGAUUGGCAUUUAUGCCGAGUCCCGUAAGCUAACGCGUUAAGCGAGCCGCCUGGGGAGUACGACCGCAAGGUUAAAACUCAAAGGAAUUGACGGGGACCCGCACAACCAGUGGAGCAUGUGGUUUAAUUCGAGACAAAACGAAGGACCUUACCAAGCUUUGACAUAACUCCGUUUUAGGUGACCAGAAAUGGACACCGAUCAAUAGAAAUAUCGAUGGAGCUACAGGUGUUGCAUGGCCGUCGUCAGCUCGUGCCGUAGGGUGUUCCCUUCAGUGGGGUAACGAGCGCAACCCUCGCCCUGAGUUGAAUAUUCUCAGGGGACUUUCUGAACUUGUUUCAGGAGGAAGUGAGGACGAUGUCAGGUCAGCAUGGCCCUUAUAGCUUGGGCCACACACAUGCUACAAUGGAGCCGACAGAGGGUAGCCAAGCCGCAAGGCGGAGCUAAUCCCAAAAACGGCUUCUCAGUGGGGAUUGAAGGCUGCAACUCGCCUUCAUGAACGCGGAAUUGGUAGUAAUCGCAGGUCAGCUAUACUGCGGUGAAUACGUUCUCGGGUCUUGUACACACCGCCCGUCAAGUUAGCAAAGUUGGAGAUACCUUAAGUCCCGUUGUACGGGACCAAGGUAGAAUCAGCGAUGAGAACUAAGUCGUAACAAGGUAACC
rnacentral:rRNA from 1 species